rnacentral:rRNA from 1 species
UACAGAGGGGGCAAGCGUUGUUCGGAAUUACUGGGCGUAAAGCGUGCGCAGGCGGUUCGUUAAGUCAGAUGUGAAAGCCCCGGGCUCAACCUGGGAACUGCAUUUGAAACUGGCGGGCUUGAGUAUGGCAGAGGGGGGUGGAAUUCCCAGUGUAGAGGUGAAAUUCGUAGAUAUUGGGAAGAACACCGGUGGCGAAGGCGGCUCGCUGGACAAGUAUUGACGCUGAGGUGCGAAAGCGUGGGGAGCAAACAGG